rnacentral:rRNA from 1 species
AGAAAUCGUUAAGGGCGUAUGGCGGAUGCCUAGGCUUUCAGAGGCGACGAAGGACGUGGUAAGCUGCGAAAAGCUACGGGGAUUGGCACACACGAAUUGAUCCGUAGAUAUCCGAAUGGGGCAACCCAAUACAUUGAAGAUGUAUUACCUCGUAAGAGGGGCAAACCCGGAGAACUGAAACAUCUAAGUACCCGGAGGAAAAGAAAUCGAAGAGAUUCCGUAAGUAGUGGCGAGCGAAAGCGGAUUAGCCCAAAAGUCUUUAUAUAUUUAGAAGAACGUUCUGGAAAGAACGGCCAUAGACGGUGAUAGCCCGGUAUUCGAAAGGUAUAUUUGGAUGAUAAAUGAGUAGGGCGGGACACGUGAAAUCCUGUCUGAAUAUGGGGGGACCAUCCUCCAAGGCUAAAUACUCCUGAAAGACCGAUAGUGAACAAGUACUGUGAAGGAAAGGUGAAAAGCACUUCGAAUAGAAGGGUGAAAUAGAACCUGAAACCGUACGCCUACAAGCGGUCGGAGCAGCGUAAUGCUGUGACGGCGUGCCUUUUGCAUAAUGAGCCUACGAGUUAAUUUUACUAGCGAGGUUAAGUAAUUAAGUUACGGAGCCGGAGCGAAAGCGAGUCUGAAUAGGGCGGAUAGUUAGUAGGAUUAGACGCGAAACCUUGUGAUCUACCCAUGGGCAGGUUGAAGCUCUGGUAACACAGAGUGGA